rnacentral:rRNA from 1 species
UACGGAGGGUGCAAGCGUUAUCCGGAUUCACUGGGUUUAAAGGGUGCGUAGGCGGGUUGGUAAGUCCGUGGUGAAAUCCCCAAGCUUAACUUGGGAACUGCCGUGGAUACUAUCAAUCUUGAAUAUCGUGGAGGUAAGCGGAAUAUGUCAUGUAGCGGUGAAAUGCUUAGAUAUGACAUAGAACACCAAUUGCGUAGGCAGCUUACUACACGAUCAUUGACGCUGAGGCACGAAAGCGUGGGGAGCAAAAGGG